rnacentral:rRNA from 1 species
ACGCUCGACACCUACGGGAGACAGCAGUGGGGAAUAUUGCACAAUGGGGGAAACCCUGAUGCAGCGACGCCGCGUGAGCGAAGAAGUAUUUCGGUAUGUAAAGCUCUAUCAGCAGGGAAGAAAGUGACGGUACCUGACUAAGAAGCCCCGGCUAACUACGUGCCAGCAGCCGCGGUAAUCUGAGCGGCUGGCAAGGC